GCCGACGGGGGCGUGAAUCCCACUCGUAAUGAGCAGGUCAGCGGUUCGAGUCCGCUCGUCGGCU
rnacentral:tRNA from 1 species